CCAUCUCUAGCUACCUUCUCUUUGUGAAAGCAAUGGCAUCCGUGAAGGCUGAGAGACCUGUUGGUACUCAACUGUUUGGUCAGGCCAAGAAAGAGCCUGCUGCUGCCAAAGCUGGUGAGACUGCUGGACCUAAACCUCCGGCCACCAAACAAGCCCCUAAGAAGGCUGAGCAAAAGCCUCGGGAGCCAAAGAAGAAGGCUAAAGGUGGCAAACCAGCUGCAGCAUCCAAGAACUAAUUAGGGAAGGUUAAUUACCAUAUCAUGCCACUAUGAAGGAUUAUUCUAUUAAUGAAGCCUUUUAUUAUCGAUCGAUAUAUUGUGGCAGUUAAUUUGAUCAUUAAUUGUCAUUUUAUAUCGUUCAUGAAUUUAUUUUUGUUUUAUUUUUAUUUUAGAUUCCCCCUCCCCCUCAUCCUUUUUCCUCCUGGCAUGUAUGUGGUAUUUUAAGCUUUUAAUGAAAUAAAAAUAGUAUAUUUAUAG